rnacentral:tRNA from 1 species
GCCGAUGUGGUGAAAUGGUAGACACGGCAGAUUCAAAAUCUGCUCUUCUCUGGAAGGUGCUGGUUCGAGUCCGGUCAUCGGCA